UACGUAGGGUGCGAGCGUUGUCCGGAAUUAUUGGGCGUAAAGAGCUUGUAGGCGGUCUGUCGCGUCUGCUGUGAAAAUCCGGGGCUCAACCCCGGACUUGCAGUGGGUACGGGCAGACUAGAGUGUGGUAGGGAAGACUGGAAUUCCUGGUGUAGCGGUGAAAUGCGCAGAUAUCAGGAGGAACACCGAUGGCGAAGGCAGGUCUCUGGGCCACUACUGACGCUGAGAAGCGAAAGCAUGGGGAGCGAACAGG
rnacentral:rRNA from 1 species